rnacentral:rRNA from 1 species
GAUGAACGCUGGCGGCGUGCCUAAUACAUGCAAGUAGAACGCUGAAGGAGGAGCUUGCUCUUCUGGAUGAGUUGCGAACGGGUGAGUAACGCGUAGGUAACCUGCCUGGUAGCGGGGGAUAACUAUUGGAAACGAUAGCUAAUACCGCAUGACAACAGUUAUUGCAUGAUAACUGUUUAAAAGGGGCAACUGCUCCACUACCAGAUGGACCUGCGUUGUAUUAGCUAGUUGGUGAGGUAACGGCUCACCAAGGCGACGAUACAUAGCCGACCUGAGAGGGUGAUCGGCCACACUGGGACUGAGACACGGCCCAGACGCCUACGGGAGGCAGCAGUAGGGAAUCUUCGGCAAUGGACGGAAGUCUGACCGAGCAACGCCGCGUGAGUGAAGAAGGUUGUCGGAUCGUAAAGCUCUGUUAUAAGAGAAGAACGAGUGUGAGAGUGGAAAGUUCACACUGUGACGGUAUCUUACCAGAAAGGGACGGCUAACUACGUG